GACGAACGCUGGCGGCGUGCUUAACACAUGCAAGUCGAACGGAAAGGCCCUGCUUUUGUGGGGUGCUCGAGUGGCGAACGGGUGAGUAACACGUGAGUAACCUGCCCUUGACUUUGGGAUAACGUCAGGAAACUGGGGCUAAUACCGGAUAGGAGCUCCUGCUGCAUGGUGGGGGUUGGAAAGUUUCGGCGGUUGGGGAUGGACUCGCGGCUUAUCAGCUUGUUGGUGGGGGAGUGGCUUACCAAGGCUUUGACGGGUAGCCGGCCUGAGAGGGUGACCGGCAAAAUUGGGACUGAGAUACGGCCCAGACUCCUCCGGGAGGAAGCAGUGGGGAAUAUUGCACAAUGGGCGGAAGCCUGAUGCAGCAACGCCGCGUGCGGGAUGACGGCCUUCGGGUUGUAACCCGCUUUAGCCUGUGACGAAGCGUGAGUGACGGUAAUGGGUAAAGAAGCACCGGCUAACUACGUG
rnacentral:rRNA from 1 species